CUAUCUACAAGGCAGGAUCUUACUAGAAUUAAUCAUAUGAGGAUGUACAUGAUGCAAACUAGUUUACAGAAUCAGGUUCCGAAGUAGGAAACUUGUCCUAAAAUCCAAACUUACCUCUCUGGAAAUCCUUAAGAGUAGGAUUUUGAACUAUCAUCAGAUCAGCAGAUUUUUCAAAGUACCUGGUGGACCGUGACUUCGUUGCAAUUCAAUAAUCAUCAUCAAGAAAAACAAAGAGAACAUGUGUCCAGUUCCAGUGGUAGGUGAAGGAGAAGAGCAGAAGACAAAGGAAAAGUAUGAAGCAGCUCCUUCAACUAAACACAGGAAUGAGAGCCACUGCCUGCUUCCAAUGCUUGAGUUGCUUCAUGAACUUCUCAUUAACACAAACUCCACUCCUUCGCAGCUUCUUCA